rnacentral:lncRNA from 1 species
ACCCAAUAAUAUUCUCUGUGUCUCAUAUGGGUACAUACCACGCUUCACACAUCCUUCCCUGUCCCUGUGUUGGCCUCCAAGAUACCCCAACCAUGGCUUUUCUUUACCUGUGUGCCCCCACAGGGCAUCACAGUGAGAUUAUGUUGUUAUCUGACGAAUAUGUUGUUAUUCCUGCAGGUGACCUCUGCAAGCUGAUUGAGCUGGUAUACCAAAAGAAAAUGAUAGCACGAAACCCAGCCAAGCUCCUUGGAAAUGUAAAUAGACCGGAAACACUGAUGUCCUCUUAA